rnacentral:rRNA from 1 species
UACAGAGGUCUCAAGCGUUGUUCGGAUUCAUUGGGCGUAAAGGGUGCGUAGGCUGGCGCGUAAGUCAGGUGUGAAAUCUCGGGGCUUAACUCCGAAACUGCAUUCGAUACUGCCGUGCUUGAGGACUGGAGAGGAGACUGGAAUUUACGGUGUAGCGGUGAAAUGCGUAGAUAUCGUAAGGAAGACCAGUGGCGAAGGCGGGUCUCUGGACAGUUCCUGACGCUGAGGCACGAAGGCCAGGGGAGCAAACGGG